rnacentral:rRNA from 1 species
AUUGAACGCUGGCGGCAGGCCUAACACAUGCAAGUCGAGCGGAGCGGCGGACGGGUGAGUAAUGCCUAGGGAUCUGCCUGGUAGUGGGGGAUACCGUCAGGAAACGGGCGAUAAUAAAGCAUACUAUACGAUGACCCUUGGUCGGAUUAGCUAGUUGGUGGUGUAACGGCCUACCAAGGCGACGAUCCGUAAAUGGUCUGAGAGGAUGAUCAGUAACACUGGAACUGAGACACGGUCCAGACGCCUACGGGAGGCAGCAGUGGGGAAUAUUGGACAAUGGGCGAUAGCCUGAUCCAGCCACGCCGCGUGUGUGAAGAAGGUUUUCGGAUUGUAAAGCACUUUUGGUUGUGAGGCGUUAGCUACACAAUAAGCACCGGCUAACUUCGUGCCAGCAGCCGCGGUAAUUC